rnacentral:rRNA from 1 species
GGAAUCUUCGGCAAUGGGGGCAACCCUGACCGAGCAACGCCGCGUGAGUGAAGAAGGUUUUCGGAUCGUAAAGCCCUGUUGUAAGAGAAGAACGUGUGUGAGAGUGGAAAGUUCACACAGUGACGGUAACUUACCAGAAAGGGACGGCUAACUACGUGCCAG